UGAAGGUCACUCCGGAUUGAAGCUGGAUCCCAACCCAGCAGGUGACAGCUUAGCAACUAAGUUCCAUGUUGGGUGUGAAGGCUGUCCGGGAUUAGGUGUAUUGUUAGCAUUGCAGGCAAUUGUUUAGCAUUAUGGCAGGUCUCCACUCUCACUUUGGAGCUUCUGAGGAAUCAGGAAUUGGGGUAUAGAACUGGGCAGCCACUGGAGGAGUUGGGGGAAGACUGUGGCUAAGGUGAAUAUGGAGGCUGGGCUUCAGACAGCAAGAUUAUUUUAGAUCCCAUGUGCUGGAAGGGCAAAGUCUCUAAUAAUCUUCUGGGCUUGUAGUCUAGACCCAGUGACUACAUCAGGCUAAGUGUGCUAUCUAAACAUCUAAUUCCUCUAGCUGGAUGGGGCUAGGAAGGGCAAGACCAACAUCCUCUGGCUUUCUAGUCUCACUGAACUUCUCUCUCCACAGCCUCCUGCUUGGUCCUUUCCCCAUGUGGGAAUUGAGAAAAGGGUCUCCUCUUCUAGUUCAUCCCACAGGGACUCAGUGGGGUGUGAGGUCCUGGAUGCCUUUAUCCCCUGGUCACACUGCACAUGGAUCCUGCAUGAAAAGAAGGUUACACAGCUGGAGAUUGUUUAGAGACAAUUAAGACUUAUUGGCUUUUCAGCUGGUGAGAAAAAGCAGGACUCUGAGACUCUUGCCAUCUUGAAAUUGUUACUCAGGUGAGUUUCCUUUACAACACCAAGCUCUUUAGUAUUUUUUAAAAAUUAUUUAGCAUCAGAAACUUAAGAGAUGAUCCAUUGGAGUUUAAGUUCAUUAUGAAUGCAAAGUGCACAUUUGACUUUAACAUGAUUCAUCUGGGUGAAUCUGAGACCCUAGCCAUUUUUUCAAGACUAUUGCUCACCUCUUUUCCUAAGGCAAAUAUUCAAGUAUGCUGCUGGUUUUUAGCACUCUCUGCUUCCUAUCUCUCAUCCUCUGAAAUGGUGCCCCACUCCCUUUAGAUUUGAACAUCUACCUCCUUCCCUUCUUUCUCCAGCCUAGGAAAAAGGAUGCCCGAUCCAAAUACCCUAAUAAGGAAAUAAUUUUGUUUGAUAGCCAAAAUACCUCUGAUAGGGGCAAGGGUUUUACGGAUGACUCUUACAAGUGAGGAGCUUUCAGAAUCUGUUGGUAAAGUAUGUUUCAUUGAAGGGAUAUUUCUGGUGGCUCACAAAUCAGAUCUAUAUUUUCACAAAACCCCAGAGAAUAAGAUGUUUUAUAGUUAUACACUUUAAUUUGGCUGUUGGCUUGAUCCACUGCUAGAGAAACCCAAAAGUGACCCCAACACUCAGGUGCAAAUAGAUUACCUGAAGAAAUCUAUGUUUUAAGUGCUUUUAUUAAUGUGUCUACUAAGAAAUUUGACUUGUCUUAUUCUUAUUAGUGUGAAUAUAGAUAUUAUACAGGUAAGGAUGAAUCUAUGUUACAGAAGUUUGAUUUCCCACUUGAGAUUUUUUCCCCUUAUUAAAUUUCUCUAAAUUUUAAGGUGACAGAAUGUAUUUCUUGACACGUAGUUCAAGGCAGGCUGAACACUAAGUUAAUUAAUUUGUCUUAUUUUACCAGUUCUAUGUGUCUAUUAACUUAGUGUGGG
ensembl:lincRNA